GCGAAUGGAUUAAGAGCUUGCUCUUAUGAAGUUAGCGGCGGACGGGUGAGUAACACGUGGGUAACCUGCCCAUAAGACUGGGAUAACUCCGGGAAACCGGGGCUAAUACCGGAUAACAUUUUGAACCGCAUGGUUCGAAAUUGAAAGGCGGCUUCGGCUGUCACUUAUGGAUGGACCCGCGUCGCAUUAGCUAGUUGGUGAGGUAACGGCUCACCAAGGCAACGAUGCGUAGCCGACCUGAGAGGGUGAUCGGCCACACUGGGACUGAGACACGGCCCAGACUCCUACGGGAGGCAGCAGUAGGGAAUCUUCCGCAAUGGACGAAAGUCUGACGGAGCAACGCCGCGUGAGUGAUGAAGGCUUUCGGGUCGUAAAACUCUGUUGUUAGGGAAGAACAAGUGCUAGUUGAAUAAGCUGGCACCUUGACGGUACCUAACCAGAAAGCCACGGCUAACUACGUGCCAGCAGCCGCGGUAAUACGUAGGUGGCAAGCGUUAUCCGGAAUUAUUGGGCGUAAAGCGCGCGCAGGUGGUUUCUUAAGUCUGAUGUGAAAGCCCACGGCUCAACCGUGGAGGGUCAUUGGAAA
rnacentral:rRNA from 1 species